rnacentral:rRNA from 1 species
GGUUGCGAUCAUACCAGCACUAAUGCGCCGGAUCCCAUCAGAAAUCCGCAGUUAAGCGUGCUUGGGCGAGAGUAGUACUAGGAUGGGUGACCCCCUGGGAAGUCCUCGUGUUGCAACCC